AUGAUUGCGAAUGGUUGCCUUCAGUGCUGGCUCGCCAGAGCAAGUGCACGUUGGUGGCUUUCAUCCAAUUCCACACCCUGUGAACCUUUGGCCUCGUACUGGCUUCGGCUGGCAGAGGAUUUUACAUAUACACGAAUGUACUGAAAACUAUUGUCGUGCGCAAGCACUAAUAUA
rnacentral:misc_RNA from 1 species